rnacentral:rRNA from 1 species
GGUGUCGCUGAUGGAUGGACCCGCGGUGCAUUAGCUAGUUGGUGAGGUAACGGCUCACCAAGGCCACGAUGCAUAGCCGACCUGAGAGGGUGAUCGGCCACAUUGGGACUGAGACACGGCCCAAACUCCUACGGGAGGCAGCAGUAGGGAAUCUUCGGCAAUGGACGAAAGUCUGACCGAGCAACGCCGCGUGAGUGAAGAAGGUUUUCGGAUCGUAAAACUCUGUUGUUAGAGAAGAACAAGGAUGAGAGUAACUGUUCAUCCCUUGACGGUAUUUAACCAGAAAGCCACGGCUAACUACGUGCCAGCAGCCGCGGUAAUACGUAGGUGGCAAGCGUUGUCCGGAUUUAUUGGGCGUAAAGCGAGCGCAGGCGGUUUCUUAAGUCUGAUGUGAAAGCCCCCGGCUCAACCGGGGAGGGUCAUUGGAAACUGGGAGACUUGAGUGCAGAAGAGGAGAGUGGAAUUCCAUGUGUAGCGGUGAAAUGCGUAGAUAUAUGGAGGAACACCAGUGGCGAAGGCGGCUCUCUGGUCUGUAACUGACGCUGAGGCUCGAAAGCGUGGGGAGCAAACAGGAUUAGAUACCCUGGUAGUCCACGCCGUAAACGAUGAGUGCUAAGUGUUGGAGGGUUUCCGCCCUUCAGUGCUGCAGCUAACGCAUUAAGCACUCCGCCUGGGGAGUACGACCGCAAGGUUGAAACUCAAAGGAAUUGACGGGGGCCCGCACAAGCGGUGGAGCAUGUGGUUUAAUUCGAAGCAACGCGAAGAACCUUACCAGGUCUUGACAUCCUUUGACCACUCUAGAGAUAGAGCUUCCCCUUCGGGGGCAAAGUGACAGGUGGUGCAUGGUUGUCGUCAGCUCGUGUCGUGAGAUGUUGGGUUAAGUCCCGCAACGAGCGCAACCCUUAUUGUUAGUUGCCAUCAUUCAGUUGGGCACUCUAGCAAGACUGCCGGUGACAAACCGGAGGAAGGUGGGGAUGACGUCAAAUCAUCAUGCCCCUUAUGACCUGGGCUACACACGUGCUACAAUGGGAAGUACAACGAGUCGCGAAGUCGCGAGGCUAAGCUAAUCUCUUAAAGCUUCUCUCAGUUCGGAUUGCAGGCUGCAACUCGCCUGCAUGAAGCCGGAAUCGCUAGUAAUCGCGGAUCAGCACGCCGCGGUGAAUACGUUCCCGGGCCUUGUACACACCGCCCGUCACACCACGAGAGUUUGUAACACCCGAAGUCGGUGAGGUAACCUUUUGGAGCCAGCCGCCUAAGGUGGGAUAGAUGAUUGGGGUGAAGUCGUAACAAGGUAGCCGUAUCGGAAGGUGCGGCUGGAUCACCU